rnacentral:rRNA from 1 species
AACGUAGGUGGCGAGCGUUAUCCGGAUUCAUUGGGCGUAAAGGGUGCGUAGGCGGCGCGGUAAGUCGGAUGUGAAAUCUCGGAGCUUAACUUCGAAACUGCAUUCGAUACUGCGGUGCUUGAGGACUGGAGAGGAGACUGGAAUUCAUGGUGUAGCAGUGAAAUGCGUAGAGAUCAUGAGGAAGACCAGUGGCGAAGGCGGGUCUCUGGACAGUUCCUGACACUGAGGCACGAAGGCCAGGGGAGCAAACGGG